CUGGAUGUGAGGACCUGUCACACCUGACCAGAGAUGAAGGUUGCAGCAUAUUCCUGAAUCAGAGGACGACUCCAUGUUGGACACCACGACCACACCACGUGAUGACCUAGCCCAAGAUGAACCUACCUGUUCCUUCUUUUCCACGGGAUGUCUUCAGGUGUUGGACCUUGCCAAACUAUACACAUGCC